UCAAUGUUCAUUCUUCAUUUUCCCAUUUCUUUCCAUUUCCUCUUUGCAACACUCCACGUUCCCGACGAAGAUCCGACGCUGCUUGCCGCCCUCGAUGCCACCAUCACGACCCACGAUGUCGCCGUCGACGCCAUCGCUGCUCCGUUUGACGACGCCGCCGGCUCUCGCCGUUGUGCUUGCCGCCUCCCAACGACAAGCUGUUGCCGGGCCGCCACCCGACGCUGCUGUUGCUCCACCGUCGCUGUUUGGCCAUCGACGACGCCACUGCUGUUCAGACUUCAACGACGAGCCGCCGCAUCUCGGCUUCCCGAUGACGAGUUGCUGCUAUUCGCGCCGCAACUAGGACAGAAGCAACUACCGCCUUGACGUAGGACAAAAGCAGCUGCCGCCUCGACGUCCUUGUUGCCGAUCCUUGCCGAAUCCAGCAUUGCCCGCGUCGUGCCCAACGUUGCUCGAGGUCGCCCAACGUUGCUUCAACCCAGAACUAAACCCCAAGCUCACCGAACGUCGGUUCUGUUUGCUGUCACCGACUCACCGCCAGUGGUCGCGACUCAGCUCAACUGCGAGAUCUAGUCCAUGUAAUCGCUAGCCGAAUGAUAUGGUGAUAGAGUGGUAGGCGAGCCCUGUAAUGUUUACCAUCGACGACAGACGGAAGCUAAAAGGAAGUAUGGCGUGAAGGAGGUGCUUCAGUUGCCGUUGAGUAGCUCUUUAGUUGGAAGGAUCGAAAAUAUUGGAUUAGCAUAAAGCAAUGGAGAUAUUAUGAUUUUGGUCAAAAAGUGGUGCCACUGCUUGUUUGUCUUCCUGGCACAGCAGGAAUGGUAGAUGUCUAUUACAAGUAGGUCAUGUGUUUGGUGAUGAAGGUAGUUACUUCAGUAUCAUAGAGAUUUUUCAGCAGCAGCAAUAUGAGUAAUGAUUAGGAAUUUCUAGUUAUUUGCUAUUCAAUUAUAUCAUCUUACACUUUGACCACUUACUGGUCACUGCACAACAAACUUCUUUGGUGUUGUUAAUGUUGUUCCAAGGAUAUAGAGCAUGAGUUUUCCAUAAUUGGCCUAUUUUAAAAACUUUCAGGGUUAUUGGGUGAUUUUUGUUGAUAUUCCACUUGUUUGGAAUCAUCAUGAAUGGAUUUAGGCAUUUGAAAAGUUCUUGAAUGCUAUCAACAUUCAUCAUGUAAGUACUCCGUUGGAAUUGGAAUUACUUUAUCUAUCUGUUUGGCAUUUGUUUACAUUGUU